UGGGGGAUAUUGCACAAUGGGCGCAAGCCUGAUGCAGCGACGCCGCGUGGGGGAUGAAGGCCUUCGGGUUGUAAACUUCUUUUGCUCUGAACAAGGCGCACUUUGGGGUGUGUUGAGUGUAGGGGUUGAUUAGCGCCGGCUAACUACGUGCCAGCAGCCGCGGUAAUACGUAGGGCGCGAGCGUUGUCCGGAAUUAUUGGGCGUAAAGGGCUUGUAGGUGGCUGGUUGCGUCUGUCGUGAAAGCUCAUGGCUUAACUGUGGGGUUGCGGUGGGUACGGGCUGGCUUGAGUGCAGUAGGGGAGGCUGGAAUUCCUGGUGUAGCGGUGGAAUGCGCAGAUAUCAGGAGGAAUACCGGUGGCGAAGGCGGGUCUCUGGGCUGUUACUGACACUGAGGAGCGAAAGCAUGGGGAGCGAACAGG
rnacentral:rRNA from 1 species